AUUGAACGCUGGCGGCAGGCCUAACACAUGCAAGUCGAACGAGUGGCAGACGGGUGAGUAAUGUCUGAGAAAAUGCCUGAUGGAGGGGGAUAACUACUGGAAACGGUAGCUAAUACCGCAUACCAUCGGAUGUGCCCAGAUGGGAUUAGCUAGUCGGUGGGGUAAAGGCUCACCUAGGCGACGAUCCCUAGCUGGUCUGAGAGGCUGACCAGCCACACUGGAACUGUGACACGGUCCAGACUCCUACGGGAGUCAGCAGUGGGGAUUAUUGCACAAUGGGCGCAAGCCUGAUGCAGCCAUGCCGCGUGUAUGAAGAAGGCCUUCGGGUUGUAAAGUACUUGCAGCGGGGAGGCGUUACCCGCAGAAGAAGCACCGGCUAACUCCGGGCCAGCAGCCGCGGUAAUUC
rnacentral:rRNA from 1 species